rnacentral:rRNA from 1 species
UACGUAGGGUGCAAGCGUUGUCCGGAAUUAUUGGGCGUAAAGAGCUCGUAGGCGGUCUGUCGCGUCGGCUGUGAAAACCCGGGGCUCAACCCCGGGCCUGCAGUCGAUACGGGCAGACUAGAGUUCGGUAGGGGAGUCUGGAAUUCCUGGUGUAGCGGUGAAAUGCGCAGAUAUCAGGAGGAACACCGGUGGCGAAGGCGGGACUCUGGGCCGAUACUGACGCUGAGGAGCGAAAGCGUGGGGAGCAAACAGG